rnacentral:rRNA from 1 species
CAGUAGCCGCGGGAAUACGUAGGUGGCAAGCGUUGUCCGGAAUUAUUGGGCGUAAAGGGCUCGCAGGCGGUUUCUUAAGUCUGAUGUGAAAGCCCCCGGCUCAACCGGGGAGGGUCAUUGGAAACUGGGAAACUUGAGUGCAGAAGAGGAGAGUGGAAUUCCACGUGUAGCGGUGAAAUGCGUAGAGAUGUGGAGGAACACCAAUGGCGAAGGCGACUCUCUGGUCUGUAACUGACGCUGAGGAGCGAAAGCGUGGGGAGCGAACAGGAUUAGAUACCCCGGUAGUCCCUGUCUCUUAUAC